GGUGAGCUGUGACUUAACUCAAAUAACUUAAAUUAUCCCUUUAGGUUGCUAAUUAAACUGAAAAUAAUGACCAGCACAUGCAAAAGAAAGUCGAAACGGUUCGUGAAACCGGUUCGUGAAACUGGUUCGUGAAACCGUGAAAAACUUCCCAUUGCUCAGUGAGUCAACAACAUCUGGCAUUGUUAGACAAUAUCUGAUGUGUCCUGACAAUGAGCCUCCCCUGGAACUGUGUAGGAUUUUCUGUGGUACUAAUUAAAGAAAAUAUUUUUACCUCUCCUUUUACAACUUGAACUCAAGUAAAACUUAAGUGACAAAACUGAGGAUUUAAAACUUUUGUAAUCUCCUUUUUAUGUUUAUCAUGAUAACCCAAAUUAGAUAAAUCAUUGUCUGACCUUUUAAUAAAAAAACACUGGCCUCAUGCAGCUGUGUAAAAAUGAUAUUAAAAAGUAAGGACUUGAGACUUAACUUGAGUGUCCUGAAUAACCAACUGCCUGAAUUAAACCUGUGGCUUAGAUGCAAUGAGCCCCUAAAGACUGAAAAGCAUGCUUACUUUUAUAACAUUCAUGAUGUCAUAACUAGUCCCUUGUGAGUUUUUCAUGAGCCUCUCUGCUCUUUCAUCAAGACUGAAACCAUGUCAAAAAAUAUAUGAAGUUAUAUAAUAGAGACUCCCAUGAUUGCCAUUCUGAAUGUGGAUCACAUUUGGGUUUUAAAGGAAAAAUGGAGGGUCAGCUAAUCAGAACAAAUGCUGAAUCAAGAUACCUUUAAGGUAACCUGCAGAUGGGCUUUUGCUGAUGUUCUGCUUCAGAAUGUGUUGCACUUUGUUCAUCAGUGUUUAUUGAGUCGUUAAUUAGUGCCUCAAAUUCCUGUGUAAGCUCUUGCUCUAAUACACUGCACAGUGACAAUUUACUGUAAAACACACCCAGAGUUUGAUGAGAUUGUGGAGUGAGAAUGGUCGCUAUGGUAAUAUGGUCAAUAUGUCCACCAUUCCCUCUGGUUGUAUAGGUUUCCCCUGUGGAUGGUUCACAGUGUGAAGGAGAAUUAACAUGUUGUGGGCUAAGUGAUGGAUAGGUUAGGUAGUGGAAACAAUAUCCACUGGUCUGCCCUGCAAUUGCAUGCCCAGUCCUCUUAUUUCCCAUGGUGCCCUUGGAAGGUCAGUCACCAAUGAUGCUCCAAGCACAUUUUUACUCGCAGACUAAUUUUGCAUCCUUUAAUAUUGCAUGGAGCUCAUUUAGGAGAUGUGUGUUCCAAGAACAGAACACACACAUACACUCACACAUACACAGCCACAUAAAAGCAUGCAAACACACUUUCUCUUUUGAAGAUUUUCCUUCAACCAGCUCAAAGAUUUAAUUCAAGAUGCUCCAGACUGUUUUGGAUUGAUAUGUGUGUUUGUGUGCAUGUGUGUGUGUUUGCAUGAUUGUUUUCAGAUCAUUGUGCUUUUGUGUGUCAGCAUGCAUGGGUAAGGAUACCUGUGCAUAUUCCCUACUUCCACAAAAAGGUAAUGCAAUAUACAUUUCUGCUGUUCAGUGAGACAUCAAUCACACUGCCGCUGUAAUUCACGGCCACUUUUGGUUUCAUUGUUGUAUAUUUUGGGCUGAACACACUGAUUCUACAGAAGCUUCUGUUUGUAACAUGCAUAUAGCUUUUUAACAAUUUAUGUGCUAAGAGAGAUUUGCUUCACCGGUUGAAAAGUUCUGCUAUAUACUUUCUAUAAAUGUGAAAGUUCAAUUUUUAAAAAGGAUGUAGUGUAGUCAAGGCAAUAUCAGGAAAAGUUACAGAUUGUUGAGUUUUAUAUUACAUUUCCAAAUAUGUCUAUUAUGUGAUCAAGAUUUACAAACACUGAUUAUUUGAACUCAAUGUUAAAAAAGAUAAGCAAGGGUUACAUGAAGCUAAAAGCAGCUGUUUAUAAUAUUUUCAUCCAAUUUAGAUUUUUUUAUGUGUGUUGCAGAAUCAGGCAGAAGAGGUUAAAGGCUCUUGGUAAAAGGGUCAUAUAGGUUAUGACUGGAUGAGGUCAAUGUGAGGUUACUUCCGUUUGGGGAUUCCAGACUAUUCCUGUCCAUCAUAUAAGGCAACCUAAAAGACCCCUUCCACCCCGGGCCUCUGCCAGAGUCCCUGCUGUCAGAGUGAUGUACAGCAGAAGGCAAUAGGUGCUGAGAGUGCAAGAGAUUGAAGGGAGUCCAUUGGGGGACAAAUGUGUACUCACACACACACACACACACACACACACACACACACACACACACACACACACACACACACCAAAAGGAAAGGAUGAAUCCAAGAGCUCUUGUUAAAUCAAGAUCUGCAUUGCAUUCUGGGAAAGGUUAUUUUUAAAAUGUGUGU
rnacentral:lncRNA from 1 species